GACGAACGCUGGCGGCGUGCCUAAUACAUGCAAGUCGAGCGAAGUUUUUCUGGUGCUUGCACCGGAAAAACUUAGCGGCGAACGGGUGAGUAACACGUAAAGAACCUGCCUCAUAGACUGGGACAACUAUUGGAAACGAUAGCUAAUACCGGAUAAUAGCAUUAACUGCAUGGUUGAUGUUUAAAAGUUGGUUUUGCUAACACUAUGAGAUGGCUUUGCGGUGCAUUAGCUAGUUGGUGGGGUAAAGGCCUACCAAGGCGACGAUGCAUAGCCGACCUGAGAGGGUGAUCGGCCACACUGGGACUGAGACACGGCCCAGACUCCUACGGGAGGCAGCAGUAGGGAAUCUUCCGCAAUGGGCGAAAGCCUGACGGAGCAACGCCGCGUGAGUGAAGAAGGAUUUCGGUUCGUAAAGCUCUGUUGUUAGGGAAGAAUGAUUGUGUAGUAACUAUAGACAGUAGAGACGGUACCUAACCAGAAAGCCACGGCUAACUACGUG
rnacentral:rRNA from 1 species